rnacentral:rRNA from 1 species
CCUGGUUGAUCCUGCCAGUAACAUAUGCUUGUCUCAAAGAUUAAGACAUGCCGGUCUAAGUGCACAAGGCCGGUACAGUGAAACUGCGAAUGGCUCAUUAAAUCAGAUAUGGUUCCUUUGAUCGCUCCCAACCGUACUUGGAUAACUGUGGCAAUUCCAGAGCUAAUACAUGCAAACGAGCGCUGACUGGGCCCCUUCACGGGGGCCUGCGGAUGCGUGCAUUUAUCAGAUCCAAAAACCCAUCCGGGGGCCUCGUGCUUUGGUGACUCUAGAUAACCCCGGGCCGCUCGCGCGCCCUCGGUGGUGACGAUUUGUCUUUCGAAUAUCUGCCCUAUCAACUUUCAAUGGUACUUUCGGCGCCUACCAUGGUGACCACGGGUAACGAGGUAUCAGGGUUCGAUUCCGGAGAGGGAGCCUGAGAAAUGGCUAUCACAUCCAAGGAAGGCCAAAUUACCCAUUUCCGACACAGUGAGGUAGUGACGAAAAAUAACAAUACAGGUCUCUUUCGAGCCCCUGUAAUUGGAAUGAGCGUAUCCUAAACCCAUGGGUGAGGACCCAUUGCAGGGCAAGUCUGGAGCCAGCAGCCGUGGUAAUUCCAGCUCCAUUAGCGUAUAUUAAAGUUGCUGCAGUUAAAAGCAAUUCCUCUGCCCGCGAUGCAAAGUCUAACGUGUGAGGUGUCUAGUGUGAAGGUUCGGUGCGGUGAUUGCUUAUACUACAGCACCAGAAUGAGGAAUGGGUCCCUGUAACGGUUUUGCCUCGUAUGCCUGAGUGGCCCAAGAAACAGGGCUUGGUAGGUGUGCCCAGAGGUGCUAGCCCUUCAAAUAUAAGCCUCAACAUCGGUCUGAGCAA